rnacentral:lncRNA from 1 species
GGACAUCCCAGACUGACACAGGACACCCCAGGAUGACACAGGACUCCCCAGGAUGACUCAGGACACCCCAGGCUGACACAGGACAUCCCAGGCUGACAAAAGACACUGAAGGCUGACAACGGACAACCCAGGAUGACAAAGGACAACCCAGGAAGACACAGGACACCCCACGCUGACUCUGGCUACUCCUGGAUAGCUCAGUACACCCAAGGCAGACAGAGGACACCACAGGAUGAAACAGGACUCUCCAGGAUGACUCAGGACACCGCAGGAUGACACAAGAUACUCCAGGAUGACUCAGGACACUCCAGGCUGACUCAGGACCACCCAGGCUGACAAAAGACACCCAAGGCUGACAAAGGACAACCCAGGAUGACACAGGAUUCCCCAGACAGACUCAGAACCCCCCAGGGUGACACAGGACACAACCGGAUGAAACAGGACACCCCAGGCUGACUCAGGACACCCUAGGCUGACUCAGGACUUCCAGGGACAACUCAGGAAUCCACAGGAUGACACAGGACACCACAGGAUGAAAUGGAUACCCCAGGAUAUCACAAGACACCCCAGACUGUUACAGGACACACCAGGCUGACCCUGGACACCCAGGGCGGUCACAGGAUAUACUAGGAGGACACAUGAUACCCCGGAUGACUCAUGACAAUACAGGCUGACACUGGACACCCCAUGGUGACAGAGGACACUCCAGGAUUACUCAGGACACCCCAGGGUGACACUGGAGACCCAUGGAUGACACAGGACACUCCAGGCUGACACAGGACACCCCAGGAUGACAAACGACAACCCAGUCUGACACAGGACACCCCAGGAUGACAAAGGACAACCCAGUCUGACAAGGACACCCCAGGAUGUCAUGUGAUACCCCAGGAUGACUCAGGACAUCCCAGUAUGGCUGAGGACACAACAGGCUCUCACAGGAUACAACAGAAUGACUUAGUACAACCCAAGAUAACACAGGACACACUAGGCUUACUCAUGACACCCCAGUAUGACACAGGACACCCCAGGAUGACACAGGACACCCAUGGAUGACACAGGACACCCUAGGCUGCCACAGGACACACCAGGAUGACUCAGGACACCCAAGGCUGAUUAAGGACAUCUCAG